UACGUAGGGGGCAAGCGUUGUCCGGAUUUAUUGGGCGUAAAGAGCGUGUAGGCGGCCAUUCAGGUCAGCUGUGAAAACUCGAGGCUCAACCUCGAGACGUCGGUUGAAACCGUUUGGCUAGAGUCCGGAAGGAGGAGAGUGAAUUCCCGGUGUAGCGGUGAAAUGCGCAGAUAUCGGGAAGAACACCCGUGGCGAAGGCGGCUCUCUGGGACGGUACUGACGCUGAGACGCGAAAGCGUGGGGAGCGAACAGG
rnacentral:rRNA from 1 species